CUUCCCUCAUCCAGAAGACAUGGAAAUGAAGGAAAAGAGUAGGUUACUCCUUCUGGCUUCGCUCAGUUCCUAGAUUCGGUCCCGAGACCAAGAGUAAGAACGAACAGAUGUGGGAAGAGACUUCCAGGUUGUACUAGAAUCCCCAUGAAGGCCCAGCUCUCAGAACUCCUCAGACAAUGCAAUUAAAGAACUGUUGCUAUGCCCCACCACGAAUAGCAUUGUUUACUACAAAGUCAAACCAAUUCUCACGUUAGAGGGGGAUGUUCCUUUAAGGACCACUAGGCUAAAUUUUAUAAUGAAAUUUCGUUUCACAUAAGCUACCAACAAAGACUGCAAUGAUCUCCCCAGAUGUAUCUGAGAUUCCAUAAGCACGAGUGCUGUGCUGAUGGAGGCUUCCUCCCACCCACCCUGCCCCAGCCACACGUUUAGAAGCUCAUGAAGAACACAUUGCAUCUUGGCUACUGGAAGUUUCCUCUGGCAGAAGCAAGAGGGUCAACGGAGGAGCACUGAUGAAGCAGAGGAACUCCAGAUUGUGGAAGAUGUUCUCAAUCACAAAAUUGAGGGAAAGGAGACCCUGAAGAAGUCACUACCACUCUCCCAAGGACCCUCUGGAGGCCUGGCUUCAGCCAGGAAGUCUUAGCAUAUAGAUGGUGGCGGUCCAAAAAAGAAUCAGACACGUCCAAGAUAAGCCCCCAAAUUCUCACAGUUUUCAGACUCCUCCCUGGGUAAACAUUCUUCCAGAACUGCUGACAAAUAGCCAAACCAACUUCCUCUCUUCAGGGUUCCCCUUCUGGAAAGGAGAUUAUCUCGCAACAAAAUCUCCACCCAAAAUGGAGCUAACAGGAAGACAGCUGAAGAGAUUCCCUCUGGUUAAUUAACCACAUAAAUACUGAAAUCAUUCUGUCCCGGAAUAAAUGAAAUGGCUCAACAAAUCCUGCUGCCUUGGAAUAGUGGUUGGUAAGGAAUUCCUGCCCCUGACUGCUACACCUUUUGCUUGACAGAUGUAAUUGCAAGUUACAGUGAUGUCCCUGGUAAUCAGACUCUUCCCUUCUUGGCUUAAUGCCCUCAUUGAUGCAAAGUCAGCAAAUGGCAAACGUGUAGACAAAUGUGUUGGCUCCAAGCCCAGGUUCUUAGAUUUCAUGGAUGUUUCUUGAUGGGUUUAACUGGAGCCGCUCUCUUUGGUAGUGAAUGCGGGUGUAAGAAAAACCACGUUUUUGAUAUCACAGUUUUCUUUUUUUUUUUUUUAUCAGCACUUGAGUACAGAAGCUUUGCUACAUUUGUGCAUAUACCAACCGUUCUGAAGAAUAAAAGGCUAAAUUCAUACUA